rnacentral:sRNA from 1 species
CCCUCUUCAUCUUUCCUUUCGAGCAUUUCAACAAAACCUCCCUAUACAAACUUGAAAAAUUGAGCAUAAUCAUCAAAUCAAAGAUGAAAUAGUUUAUACAUAGGGAAAUGAACUUAGGAAUGGUUCGGUGAGUUGGUUGGAGCUCAGAUCCAUGUGAAGUAGGUUGGGGAGGGCCGAAAGGGAAUAGGGGAUGAAGCUGGAAGAAGGAGUUGGAAGUGAGGGAGAGGUUUGUGAGGAAAAUUAGGUCUCUGAUGGAGGAAGGGAUUUCGCCAGCGAGGACGUUGGAGGAGAGGUUGAGAAGUUGGAGGGAGUCGAGCAUGGUGAUGGAGGGAGGAUGUUGCCUUUGAGGCGACGAGGUCGAGGCGAGGAGGCGAGGAGGCAGUGAGGCGGCGAGGACUCUGUCAAAGGGUACCUAUGACCUUGGGGUAGUUGGGAAAGUGGAUGUUGGAGAAGAGGGAAAAGGCGUGGCGGUUGAGGGGGAGGUCGAUGUAGAGGGUGUAGGCGGCGGGGUGGAGGUGGCGGUGGGGAAGGACGCGGGUGGAGAGGAGGGAAAGGGCAAGCAAGGGAGCUAUGGCAAGAGCGAUUUGAUUUUCUUUGCUUGCUCAGUUAAAAGUUAACGUAGGGUUGGAUGCAUCUUGUUUUGGAAAACAAAUGUAGGGAGGGAUACUACUUGGGCCAUCAACGAUUGCGAGGAAUGAGAAAUUCCUGAACACGAUUUUCCCCAAGAAAAGCUUGACUGUGCUUGAAACAUUGGCCAAUCUGGGUCUUCUGUUCUUCUUGUUUCUAGUGUUUCUCUUGCCAUCUCUGUAAAAUCUGCAGAUUGGUUCAUCAUCAUUAUGUUUUUGUCAUAAUACAUUAUCUAAGGUAGAAAACCUCUUUUCCUCUCGCCGUAUGACGUCGAAAUCCACCGUCGACGACCUUAUAGAGACGUCGUUGCGACAGUACGUGAAGGAAAGAUGAAGACGGUUUAGGAUGAUGAAGACUUUGAAUCCGUAACACAUUUCCAAUUAAAUUUUGUGUCAUCACAUAAACGGUUCAUCUUAAAAAAAUUCCACUUAAUAUAACACUGCUUCAUCAUCAUUAUCUUAAGUGUGCAUCACGUCAUCACCGUUUAACGUCGUCUGUCAAAACUUAACGGAGAGAGUAAAAUUGACUCAAUUUUACAAGUAUAUGGACC